rnacentral:rRNA from 1 species
GACGAACGCUGGCGGCGUGCUUAACACAUGCAAGUCGAACGGAAAGGCCCUGCUUGCAGGGUACUCGAGUGGCGAACGGGUGAGUAACACGUGGGUGAUCUGCCCUGCACUUCGGGAUAAGCCUGGGAAACUGGGUCUAAUACCGGAUAGGAGCCAUUUUUAGUGUGAUGGUUGGAAAGUUUUUUCGGUGUAGGAUGAGCUCGCGGCCUAUCAGCUUGUUGGUGGGGUAAUGGCCUACCAAGGCGGCGACGGGUAGCCGGCCUGGGAGGGUGGACGGCCACAUUGGGACUGAGAUACGGCCCAGACUCCUACGGGAGGCAGCAGUGGGGAAUCUUGCACAAUGGGCGCAAGCCUGAUGCAGCGACGCCGCGUGGGGGAUGACGGCCUUCGGGUUGUAAACUCCUUUCGCUAGGGACGAAGCUUUUUGUGACGGUACCUAGAUAAGAAGCACCGGCUAACUACGUG